AGCUCCAAUAGCGUAUAUUAAAGUUGUUGCAGUUAAAAAGCUCGUAGUUGGAUUUGUGGCUGUCUCGUGCGGCCUGGCACUUAGUGCCGGUGUCUGCGUGGGACGCCAUCCUUGGGUGGAAUCUGUGUGGCAUUAGGUUGUCGUGCAGGGGAUGCCCAUCGUUUACUGUGAAAAAAUUAGAGUGUUCAAAGCAGGCUUAUGCCGUUGAAUAUAUUAGCAUGGAAUAAUAAGAUAGGACCUUGGUACUAUUUUGUUGGUUUGCGCACCAAGGUAAUGAUUAAUAGGGACAGUUGGGGGUAUUCGUAUUCCAUUGUCAGAGGUGAAAUUCUUGGAUUUUUGGAAGACGAACUACUGCGAAAGCAUUUACCAAGGAUGUUUUCAUUAAUCAAGAACGAAAGUA
rnacentral:rRNA from 1 species